UCUGCAUGGAGCCGACCUUGAAAUACCACCCUUUAAUGUUUGAUGUUCUAACGUUGACCCGUAAUCCGGGUUGCGGACAGUGUCUGGUGGGUAGUUUGACUGGGGCGGUCUCCUCCUAAAGAGUAACGGAGGAGCACGAAGGUUGGCUAAUCCUGGUCGGACAUCAGGAGGUUAGUGCAAUGGCAUAAGCCAGCUUGACUGCGAGCGUGACGGCGCGAGCAGGUGCGAAAGCAGGUCAUAGUGAUCCGGUGGUUCUGAAUGGAAGGGCCAUCGCUCAACGGAUAAAAGGUACUCCGGGGAUAACAGGCUGAUACCGCCCAAGAGUUCAUAUCGACGGCGGUGUUUGGCACCUCGAUGUCGGCUCAUCACAUCCUGGGGCUGAAGUAGGUCCCAAGGGUAUGGCUGUUCGCCAUUUAAAGUGGUACGCGAGCUGGGUUUAGAACGUCGUGAGACAGUUCGGUCCCUAUCUGCCGUGGGCGCUGGAGAACUGAGGGGGGCUGCUCCUAGUACGA
rnacentral:rRNA from 1 species